UUUUCGGUCAUCCUGAAUUAAUUCUUCAACUUCGUUCAAAAUACCCUCUCGUAAUUUACAAAUGUCAGAAUCUAAAAAACAGUAUCGUUGAUUUUCGUGUGUUUUCAUUCAAUAUGUAUGUUUUCGAAUGAAUUGGUAGUGUUGGGGAGAGGAUGACAUUUGAUAGCUGGGCAUCAGUAAUAAUAUUCAUACUCAACUUUUACACAUCCUGUAGGGACAUCUCAAAAUUUUGAGCCAAGAACUUAAUAAUUUGUUCUAAAUUAGCACUUCCAAUUUAUACUUUUAUCAAGAAUGGGUUAGGUGAAAUAUUCUCAGUCAACUGUUACUCAUCAAUGAAACUUGGCGAAUGAACCAUCGUCGAUCAAAGGCUUUUUAUUAAAUCAAUCAAAGAGUCUCUAUAGAUAAACUCUAUGCUAGUCUCUGAGUUAACGGCAAUUGAAGUAAUGAUGGUAAAGCUUUUUAAUUCAGUACAAACAAUUCCAUUUUAAUUUCAAUUUAUACUUUAUUUUAUCAACUGCUAGCGAUUUUACAAUUAUCUCUCUUUGGCAGCAGAAUACUACCAUGAACUGAUUAUUUAACUUAUUUGAAUAUUACCGAUUAUAGGUGUAUAAGGAAAAAAAAUGUGAUUCCUAUAAUCAGUCAUUUUUUAUAUUUUAAUAAUCUUCCCUUCAAUUAGAACUUUGAAAUUUUGAUAAAUUACAUUUUAUUGGUAAUAA